CCUACGGGGUGCAGCAGUGAGGAAUAUUGGUCAAUGGGCGAGAGCCUGAACCAGCCAAGUCGCGUGAGGGAGUACUGCCCUAUGGGUUGUAAACCUCUUUUGUCGGGGAGCAAAAGCCGGACGUGUCCGGCUGUGAGAGUACCCGAAGAAAAAGCAUCGGCUAACUCCGUGCCAGCAGCCGCGGUAAUACGGAGGAUGCGAGCGUUAUCCGGAUUUAUUGGGGUUAAAGGGUGCGCAGGCGGAUUUUUAAGUCAGCGGUCAAAUCGUGGGGCUCAACCCCAUCCAGCCGUUGAAACUGGGGAUCUAGAGUGUGCGAGAGGUAUGCGGAAUGCGUGGUGUAGCGGUGAAAUGCGUAGAUAUCACGCAGAACCCCGAUUGCGAAGGCAGCAUAUCGGUGCACAACUGACGCUCAGGCACGAAAGCGUGGGUAUCGAACAGGAUUAGAUACCCGGGUAGUC
rnacentral:rRNA from 1 species